UACGUAGGGGGCAAGCGUUGUCCGGAUUUAUUGGGUUUAAAGGGUGCGUAGGCGGCCCUGUAAGUCAGUGGUGAAAUACUCCAGCUUAACUGGAGGGGUGCCAUUGAUACUGCAGGGCUUGAGUGGAGUCGAAGUAGGCGGAAUUGACGGUGUAGCGGUGAAAUGCUUAGAUAUCGUCAAGAACACCGAUAGUGAAGACAGUUUACUAGGCUUCUACUGACGCUGAGGCACGAAAGUGUGGGGAUCAAACAGG
rnacentral:rRNA from 1 species